GCAGUCUAAAGACGACCGUACCGCAAACCGACACUGGUGGGCGAGAUGAAAAUUCUCAGGCGCUUGAGAGAACUCGGUUGAAGGAACUCGGCAAAUUGACACCGUAACUUCGGAAGAAGGUGUGCCGUUAGUAGGUGAAGGUGUACAACCGGAGCCCAAAGCGGUUGCAAAAAAUAGGUGGCUGCGACUGUUUAUUAAAAACACAGCACUCUGCAAACACGAAAGUGGACGUAUAGGGUGUGACGCCUGCCCGGUGCCGGAAGGUUAAAUGAUGGGGUGCAAGCUCUUGAUUGAAGCCCCGGUAAACGGCGGCCGUAACGAUAACGGUCCUAAGGUAGCGAAAUUCCUUGUCGGGUAAGUUCCGACCUGCACGAAUGGCGUAACGAUGGCCACACUGUCUCCAACCGAGACUCCGCGAAGUUGAAAUGUUUGUGAUGAUGCAAUCUACCCGCGGCUAGACGGAAAGACCCCGUGCACCUUUACUGUAGCUUUGCAUGGGACUGUGAACCGAUCUGUGUAGGAUAGCUGGGAGGCUUUGAAGCGGGGGCGCUAGCUCUCGUGGAGCCGUCGUUGAAAUACCAGCCUGGUUUGUUUGCGGUUCUAACCUACGCUCGUGAAUCCGGGCGGGGGACAGUGCAUGGUAGGCAGUUUGACUGGGGCGGUCUCCUCCCAAAGAGUAACGGAGGAGCUCGAAGGUACGCUAGGUACGGUCGGAAAUCGUACUGAUAGUGCAAUGGCAUAAGCGUGCUUAACUGCGAGACUGACAAGUCGAGCAGGUGCGAAAGCAGGACAUAGUGAUCCGGUGGUUCUGUAUGGAAGGGCCAUCGCUCAACGGAUAAAAGGUACGCCGGGGAUAACAGGCUGAUGACCCCCAAGAGUUCAUAUCGACGGGGUCGUUUGGCACCUCGAUGUCGGCUCAUCACAUCCUGGGCUGUAGCCGGUCCCAAGGGUAUGGCUGUUCGCCAUUUAAAGUGGUACGUGAGCUGGGUUUAAAACGUCGUGAGACAGUUUGGUCCCUAUCUGCCGUGGGCGUUGGACAUUUGAAGGGGGCUGCUCCUAGUACGAGAGGACCGGAGUGGACGAACCUCUGGUGUACCGGUUAUGACGCCAGUCGCAUCGCCGGGUAGCUAUGUUCGGAAGAGAUAACCGCUGAAAGCAUCUAAGCGGGAAACUCGCCUUAAGAUGAGAUGUCCCGGGGACUUGAUCCCCCUAAAGGGUCGCGGAAGACCACCGCGUUGAUAGGCUGGGUGUGGAAGCGCAGUAAUGCGUUAAGCUAACCAGUACUAAUUGCCCGUGCGGCUUGAUCCU
rnacentral:rRNA from 1 species